rnacentral:rRNA from 1 species
UACGUAGGGGGCAAGCGUUGUUCGGAAUUACUGGGCGUAAAGCGUGCGCAGGCGGCUUUGCAAGACAGAUGUGAAAUCCCCGGGCUUAACCUGGGAACUGCAUUUGUGACUGCAUGGCUGGAGUGUGGCAGAGGGGGAUGGAAUUCCGCGUGUAGCAGUGAAAUGCGUAGAUAUGCGGAGGAACACCGAUGGCGAAGGCAAUCCCCUGGGCCUGCACUGACGCUCAUGCACGAAAGCGUGGGGAGCAAACAGG